UCAAGCUACAAAGGGCGUACGGUGAAUGCCUUGGCAUCAAGAGCCGAUGAAGGACGUGAUAAGCUGCGAUAAGCUUCGGGUAGGCGCAAAUAGCCUGAGAUCCGGAGAUCUCCGAAUGAGGAAACUCACAUGGGUAACCCCAUGUAUCCUUAAGUGAAUACAUAGCUUAAGGAGGGAACACCUAGGGAACUGAAACAUCUAAGUACCUAGAGGAAGAGAAAGAAAAAUCGAUUUUCUUAGUAGCGGCGAGCGAAAAGGAAAGAGUCCAAACCAGAAACUUGUUUCUGGGGUUGAGGAUAUAACAUCAAAGUUAAGAGUUUGUAACCGAAGAGAGUUGGAAAGCUCUACCGUAGGAGGUAAUAGUCCUGUAGGUUAAACGAACAAAUAACGAGUUAUAAUCCAGAGUACCACGAGACACGAGGAACCUUGUGGGAAGCAGGGAGGACCACCUCCCAAGACUAAAUACUACUUGAUGACCGAUAGUGAAGCAGUACCGUGAGGGAAAGGUGAAAAGAACCCCGGGAGGGGAGUGAAAUAGAACCUGAAACCGUAUGUCCACAACCGAUCAAAGCGCCUUAUGAGCGCGAUGAUGUGCUUUUUGUAGAACGAGCCAACGAGUUACGGUAUGUAGCGAGGUUAAGUACUUAAGGUACGGAGCCGAAGGGAAACCAAGUCUGAAUAGGGCGACUAGUUGCAUGCCGUAGACCCGAAACCGGGUGACCUAUCCAUGAGCAGGUUGAAGCGAAGGUAAAACUUCGUGGAGGACCGAACCACGUUACUGUUGAAAAAGUAUGGGAUGACUUGUGGAUAGCGGAGAAAUUCCAAUCGAACUCGGAUAUAGCUGGUUCUCCCCGAAAUAGCUUUAGGGCUAGCGUCGGAACAUUGAGUAAUGGAGGUAGAGCACUGAAUGGGCUAGGGGGCAUAGCGCUUACCGAACCUUAUCAAACUCCGAAUGCCAUAUACUUUUACUCCGGCAGUCAGACUGUGAAUGAUAAGAUCCAUGGUCGAAAGGGAAACAGCCCAGAUCGUCAGCUAAGGUCCCAAAGUGUAAGUUAAGUGGAAAAGGAUGUGGGAUUUCUAAGACAACUAGGAUGUUGGCUCAGAAGCAGCCACUCAUUUAAAGAGUGCGUAAUAGCUCACUAGUCAAGAGAUCCUGCGCCGAAAAUGUUCGGGGCUAAAACUUACCACCGAAGCUACGGAAUUGAAUUUAUUCAAUUGGUAGGGGAGCGUCGUAAUCGGGCUGAAGUCGUACCGUAAGGAGCGGUGGACUGAUUACGAGUGAGAAUGUUGGCAUUAGUAGCGAGAUGUGGGUGAGAAUCCCACAGGCCGAAAACCCAAGGUUUCCUCAGGAAGGCUCGUCCGCUGAGGGUUAGUCGGGACCUAAGCUGAGGCCGAAAGGCGUAAGCGAUGGACAACUGGUUGAUAUUCCAGUACCACUACAAUCGUUAUUAUCGAUGGUGUGACGCAGGAAGAUAGGAUGUGCUAGCUGUUGGAUAUGCUAGUCUAAGCGUUUAGGGAGUCAUGGUAGGCAAAUCCGCCAUGGCAAUUCUGAGGCGUGAUGGGGAAGGUUCUACGGAACCGAAGUAUCUGAUUCUACGCUGCCGAGAAAAGCAUCUAGAGAGAGAAGUAGUGCCCGUACCGCAAACCGACACAGGUAGGUGAGGAGAGAAUCCUAAGGCCGGCGGAUGAAUCACAGUUAAGGAACUCGGCAAAUUGACCCCGUAACUUCGGGAGAAGGGGUGCCUACGAGAGUAGGCCGCAGAGAAUAGGCCCAAUCAACUGUUUAGCAAAAACACAGGUCUCUGCUAAAGCGUAAGCUGAUGUAUAGGGGCUGACGCCUGCCCGGUGCUGGAAGGUUAAGGGGAAUGCUUAGCGCAAGCGAAGGUAUGAACUUAAGCCCCAGUAAACGGCGGCCGUAACUAUAACGGUCCUAAGGUAGCGAAAUUCCUUGUCAGGUAAGUUCUGACCCGCACGAAUGGCGUAAUGAAUUGGGCACUGUCUCAACUGUGAAUCCGGCGAAGUUGUAGUACGAGUGAAGAUGCUCGUUACCCGCGAUUGGACGGAAAGACCCCGUAGAGCUUUACUGUAGCUUAGCAUUGAAUUUUGGUAUUGUCUGUACAGGAUAGGUGGGAGACUGAGAAACUAGGUCGUCAGACUUAGUGGAGUCAUCCUUGGGAUACCACCCUGACAUUACUGAAGUUCUAACUGGCGGCCAUGAAUCUGGUCACAGGACAUUGUUAGGUGGGCAGUUUGNUGGAUAGAACA
rnacentral:rRNA from 1 species